GGGGGGCCUUGCCCGGCCAGGAAAGGACUGGAAGUAAAGGGGGGUGGGGAGGCACAAGCCGAGAUGAUAUCAUUCCUGAAGCCUGCAAGCAGCCAAUCCGCUGGUGAGGAUAUGAUGUCAUCUCCCCCGCCCCCGCCCCCUCUUAGCCUAGGUAGCCCCACUGAGAAUUCUAGACAAGUAUUGAACUGAAGUUGUAUUACUGUGAGAGAAAGGGGGCGGGGGAUGGCGAUGGGAGAGAGAAAGAGAUCUACGGACCCUCUGGAUGGCCCGAGCAGACACUACAGUCUUCACCAGAGGCAGCCCCAUAAAAAUGUCAUCGUCUCGGGCUCUCCCCGCAUUACAACACAAUGAUUUCUUUGGGGAGGAGAAAAAAAAAACUAAGAUUUAUUUUGCAACCACACCUCCGCCUCCCUUGGAAGAGAAAUACUGACCAACAACAAGUUGUGAAUGAAAUGUCUGCAGAUCGGCCCUCCUCGCCCAGCCUGAGAACUUUCCAGACGGAAAGGCGCACACGUGCACACAGCACCAGCUGAGCCGAUUUGUGCUGCUCUCAGCAGCCACCGGGGAUGGAGGAACCGCUCAAGGAUCUCCAGAGUGCGAGCCUGGUUCGGGGCAAAGUUGCCCAACCUAGUGGUGUGAGCCACGUAAGGAGCUGGGGAGAGGGGAGUCUGUCCCCAAGACAAUGACAGCAUCUAGGGCUCAGUGCCAGGCUCCCGGGAGAAGCAAACAAGCCAUGGCUUUAGGGAGGGGUGCAGGCUCAUUAGAGAGCCCACUGAAGUGUUACCACCAUGCAGAGAGGAGGGGUGAGAGGGCACGGCUCUCCUCUGCCAGUUUUUUUCUCUUGGGACGGGGAAGCAGCGCUGCUUGGAAAAUAGCAAACUCAAACCUUCCCCCCAAAUGCCAGAAAUGUUCCCGGGAGUCCAGGCCACAAGGACAGUGUGUGCAAUGGCUUGGACCAGGCCAGAGCUGUUCUCCCUCCCCUUAAACUAUGCAUAAAAAGAAGGUUCCCCCACAUGCUCCUCCUGGGAUCUUUCUGGGGUUAUCCCACAUGAACCUGCUUAGGUUGCCUUUGAGGAAACAGAGAAGUGAAGAUCCCCCAACCACUCCCCAUUUUGGAAAAGUGGACAUCAAAGCCCAGAGAAGGGACAGGACCAGCCCAAUGACCAACAGAGUCACCAGUGACUCUGGGGCUAUGUCUAGGACUCUGUCUCCAGUCUACUGUUCAUUCCCAAGGACAAGCCCACAACACAGUAGCAGCACCUGCAGAUGGAAAGCCUUCGAUCUCAAUGUCACCUGUUUGCCACUUUCUGCAUAAAUAAUGUCAUUGUUGGAAUGAGUUUAUGAUGGUCUCCAUCCCCAUCUCUAUGAGCUGUGAGCAAGACAUCUGCUGCAUAGCUCGUGUGUGUUCAGGCCUCCCUGGACCAGCAGCUCCGACUCACACAUGCACAGAACGAUAACGCAGAUGGGAGCAUGCGCCUGGAAGGCCACCCUGCCGCACAGCACACUGACUGAGCAAGAACAAAGACCGUAAAUGAAGAAGGAUGUUUGCACUCUGCUCCUCGCUUGCCUGAAAACAGGAAACUUUGGAGACCUGUUCUGGCAAGGUUUCCACCUCUUCCUCACCCCAACGGUGAAUAGCCUAAGAGGUCUUAUUUUUAUUACUUUUUUUAAGAGGACAAAUCUUUUCCAAAGCACUUUUCUUUUUCUUUUUGUUUUGCUGCUGUGAUAGGGAACUGUGUGUGUUCUGAUGGUUCAAUGGGGAAAUGAGGAUCGAUCAUGAGUGAUUUUCCCGAAAUGCAACCUGUGCAGGUCUUGCCUUCCUCAAGCACCUGUGAGGAGAAGUCGUCACUAGCGGGGAAUUCCAGCAGGUGACCCAAUCGAGACAGCUGGGCAGGCUCCUGGAGCUGAUGGCUUGGGAAGGAGGGAGUCAGAAGUGGCAGGCCCACGGAGGGCCUUCAACUCAUUGGAUGAAGCCCACCCUUAUUCCCAAGGAUAAUCUCCUUUACUCAAGGUCAACUGAUUGUUGAUGUUAAUGACAUCCACAAAAUGUCUUCACAGCAAUGGGAUUGCCUCACAGUAAUGGGAUUGCCUCACAGUAAUGGGAUUGCUGGGUCAAAUGGUAAUUAUCCUUAUGAUUUUCUUAAUACCAUUGUCUUUUCUCUACCUUACUUUAUUGUAGUAAUACAGUAUAUAGUACAUAUAACAUACAAAAUAUGUGUUAAAAUAA